rnacentral:rRNA from 1 species
UACAGAGGUCUCAAGCGUUGUUCGGAUUCAUUGGGCGUAAAGGGUGCGUAGGUGGCGCCGUAAGUCAGGUGUGAAAUUUCGGAGCUUAACUCCGAAACUGCAUUUGAUACUGCGGUGCUUGAGGACUGGAGAGGAGACUGGAAUUUACGGUGUAGCAGUGAAAUGCGUAGAUAUCGUAAGGAAGACCAGUGGCGAAGGCGGGUCUCUGGACAGUUCCUGACACUGAGGCACGAAGGCCGGGGGAGCAAACGGG